rnacentral:rRNA from 1 species
UGUACGAGUGGCGAACGGGUGAGUAACACGUGAGAAACCUGCCUCGGAGACCGGGACAACCAUUGGAAACGAUGGCUAAUACCGGAUGUCCUUUUACGGUCGCAUGACUGUUUGAGGAAAUGAUCCGUCGCUCCGGGAGGGUCUCGCGUCCUAUCAGCUUGUUGGUGAGGUAAUGGCUCACCAAGGCAUCGACGGGUAGCUGGUCUGAGAGGACGAUCAGCCACACUGGGACUGAGACACGGCCCAGACUCCUACGGGAGGCAGCAGUAGGGAAUCUUGCACAAUGGGCGAAAGCCUGAUGCAGCGACGCCGCGUGGGGGAUGAAGGCCUUCGGGUUGUAAACCCCUUUCAGUAGGGACGAAAAUGACGGUACCUACAGAAGAAGCUCCGGCCAACUACGUGCCAGCAGCCGCGGUAACACGUAGGGAGCAAGCGUUGUCCGGAUUUAUUGGGCCUAAAGAGCUCGUAGGUGGUUCGGUAAGUCGGAUGUGAAAACUCAAGGCUCAACCUUGAGACGCCAUCCGAUACUGCUGUGACUUGAGUUCGGUAGAG